GAUGCUACAACCUGACUGGGGGAUGGCUCGGCUCGAGAGCUGAUGAAGGUCGUGACAAGCUGCGAUAAGCUACGGGGAGGCGCAUGAAUGCCUUGGAUCCGUAGAUGGCCGAAUAGGACCUCCUGGCUUUACGAAGUCAUUCCCGUAUUAAUUUACUGGAAAGGGAACCGCCCGAAUUGAAGCAUCUUAGUAGGGCGAGGAACAGAAAUCAAACGAGAUUCCGUUAGUAGUGGCGAAUGAACACGGAAUAGAACAAACCGAAUCCGCUUGGGAAACCUUGUGGAGAUGUGGGGUAUGGAUCACCUAUCGUCUAAAUUCACGAAGCAGAAGUCGAUCUGGAACGACGUACCAUAGAGGGUGAAAGUCCCGUAUGUGUAGUGAAUAUGACCAAGUGGUGAAUCCUGAGUAGCGUGCGUUGGAUAUCGCGCGUGAAUGUGGGAGGCAUAAACUUCCAAUUCUAAAUACAACUCGAGACCGAUAGUUGACCAGUAGUGUGAACGAAAGUUGAAAAGUAUCCUGAGAGGGAUGUGAAAAGAACCUGAAACCAGUUAGGGACAGACUGAAUAGGCGUGAAAGCGAAGAUAUGAGCAGCGUCUAUUCGUGCGUUUCGAAUAAUGCCCCUGGGAGUCUUGAUCAUUGGCGAGGUUAAGCAGUUGAUCUGCGAAGCCGUAGGGAAACCGACAAGUCCGCAGCCCUUCGGGGUGAGGGACGAGAUGUGCUCGUCUGAAGUCAAUGGUGGAGGACCUGAAGCCUAUCGAUCUAUGCCUGGCCAGAUUGAAGCCCGAUGAAAGUUGGGUGGAGGAUCGAACCGUUGCUGAUGUGCAAAUCGCUCGGACGAGUUGGGUAUAGGGGUGAAAGUCCAAUCGAGAUGGGCAAUAGCAGGUUCCGCGCGAGACUACUCGUAGGUAGACCUCUGUGGAGAUAGAUUGUGCUGUAGAGCACUGAUUGGGUAUUUAGGGGGAGCGAUCCCUCGGUACGCUGUCAAACUCCGAAGGUGCAAUCAUUGUAGAAACAGGGAGUGAGUCGCGGUGGGUAAGCUACCGUGACGAAAGGAGAACAGUCCAGCCUAGCGUUAAGGUCCCAAAGUACUAACUAAGUGUCAAAGACAAACCGUGUCCGUGGUCGAAAACAACCAGAAGGUGGGCUUAGAAGCAGCCAUCCUUGAAAGAGUUCGUAACAGAUCACUGGUCAAGCUUGCGGGCCGGGAAAAGGGACGGGGCUAAAGUUAGUCACCGAUACGCUAGACCAGCGAAAGCUGAUGUGGUAGCGCGGCGACAUGUUCGGGCAGAAGGUAGGCUGUGAAGUCUACUGGACCGUAUAUGUAUGAGAAUCUAGGGAAAAGUAGCAGCAAAGAGUGGUGAGAAUCCGCUCCACCGGAGGGGCCAGGGUUCCUCGGCAAUGUUCAUCAGCCGAGGGUUAGCCGGUCCUAAGGUCAUUCUUAACCGAAAUGAUCGAAUAGGGAAAUGCGUUAAUAUUCGUAUGCCUCUGUGCAAUUAUGGUGACAGCUUGGGCUAGUCUUACAGGUCAUAUGUCAGGCCUGAAGAUUGUAUAAGGAAUUGGAGAACCGUCAUGGUGAGAAGAUUCCGAAAUCAAUUGACAAUAUAAGAUGACGCCUAGGCUCCGUGAAAAGCCGCACAGAAGACCGUACCUAGAACUGACACAGGUGCCCCUGGGUGAGUAGCCUAAGGUGUGACGGGAAAAGUACCGCAAGGGAACUCGGCAAAAUAGCUCCGUAACUUCGGGAGAAGGAGUGCCAGCUUAGAGAUAAGCUGGUCGCAGUGACCAGGGGUCUCCGACUGUUUAAUAAAAACAUAGGCGACUGCCAGUCCGAAAGGAUGAGUAUAGUCGCUGAAUCCUGCUCAGUGCCGGUAUCUGAAAUCGGGGUUCAACCUGACGAAGGACCGGUAAACAGCGGGGGUAACUAUGACCCUCUUAAGGUAGCGUAAUACCUUGUCGCUUAAUUGGCGACUUGCAUGAAUGGUCCAACGAGGGACCCACUGUCCCUGCGGUACGUCCGGCGAAAUUGACUUUACUGGCGCACAGUCCAGUACCUUCAACCUGCAAGCGAAGACCCCGUAGAGCUUUACUGCAGCCUGCCGUUGUGUAGUGGCACUUAUUGUGCUGCGUAGACGGGAGAUACCGAUCCCCCAGACGUCAGUUUGGGGAGUAGUCGCACAGAGAGACACCGUCCUUUGAGUGCAACUACACUUACUCUUAACGAGGACACCGGUAGGUAGGCAGUUUGGGUGGGGCGCCACGCGCUCGAAAACCUAACAAGCGUGCCCAAAGGUCAGCUUAGGUGGUUCAGUCUCCACCGUAAACCGUAAGGGGAAAAGCUGGCUUGACGUGGAUCGGCACAAUAACGAUCGACGAUGAGAAAUCAGGGCCUAACGAACCUACUAGCCUCAUUUAUGGGGGCAGUAGAUAACAGAAAAGUUACCUCGGGGAUAAUUGAGUUGUCACCAGCAAGAGCUCACAUCGACCUGGUGGCUUGCUACUUCGAUGUCGUCUCUUCCUAUCCUGGGUCUGCAGCAGGACCCAAGGGUGGGGUUGUUCGCCCAUUAAAAGGGAUCGUGAGAUGGGUUUAGACCGUCGUGAGACAGGUUUGUUGCUUUGUGGUUGAAGCGUUUAUGCCUGAUGGAAAGGGCCCUUUAGUACGAGAGGAACGAGGGCUCGGGGCCACUAGUCUACCAGUUGUCUGACAAGGCAAUGCUGGGUAGCCACGCCCUAUGUGGAUAAGAGCUGAAAGCAUCUAAGCUCGAAGCCACCCCAAAGACGAGGCAUAUGAGACAGGCGGUAAAAGACCGCAUGAUAGGAGCCGGGUGUAAGCAUGGAGGUUCGCCGACAUGCUCAGCCCAGACUUACUAACGUCCAGCAUCUUUUUU
rnacentral:rRNA from 2 species